AGGGAAUCUUCCGCAAUGGACGAAAGUCUGACGGAGCAACGCCGCGUGAGUGAUGAAGGUUUUCGGAUCGUAAAACUCUGUUGUUAGGGAAGAAUAAGUACGAGAGUAACUGCUCGUACCUUGACGGUACCUAACCAGAAAGCCACGGCUAACUACGUGCCAGCAGCCGCGGUAAUACGUAGGUGGCAAGCGUUGUCCGGAAUUAUUGGGCGUAAAGCGCGCGCAGGCGGUUCCUUAAGUCUGAUGUGAAAGCCCACGGCUCAACCGUGGAGGGUCAUUGGAAACUGGGGAACUUGAGUGCAGGAGAGAAGAGUGGAAUUCCACGUGUAGCGGUGAAAUGCGUAGAGAUGUGGAGGAACACCAGUGGCGAAGGCGACUCUUUGGCCUGUAACUGACGCUGAGGCGCGAAAGCGUGGGGAGCAAAC
rnacentral:rRNA from 1 species